rnacentral:rRNA from 1 species
CCUGGUUGAUCCUGCCAGUAGGUUAUCUUUGUCACAAAGAUUAAGCCAUGCAUGUCUAAAUUCGCAAGACUGGUAUAGUGAAACUGCGAAUGGCUUAUUAAAUCAGUUAUGGUUCCUUUGGUUGCUCACUCCUCUCCUACUUGGAUAACUGUGGUAAUGCUAGAGCUAAUGCAUGCUGACGGGUGCUGACCCCCUUUGUGGGGGGAUGCGUGCAUUUAUCAGAUCAAAACCAACCCGGUCAGCCUCCCUCCGGCCCCGGCUUGGGGGUGGGCCCUGGCGGCUUUGGCGACUCUAGAUAACCUCUGGCCAAACUUGCACGCCCCCCUUGGUGGUAACAAUCCAUUCAAACGUCUGCCCUAUCAACUUCUGAUGAUAGUUACCAUGCCUAUCAUGGUGACCACGGGUGACAGGGAAUCAGGAUUCGAUUCCAGAGAGGGAGCCUGAGAAACAGCUACCACGUCUAAGGAAGGCAGCAGGUUACCCACUCCUGACACAGGGAGGUAGUGACGAAAAAUAACAUCACAGGACACUUUCGAGGACCUGUAAUUGGAAUGAGUCCACUUUAAAUCCUUUCCUGAGGAUCCAUUGGAGGGCAAGUCUAAUGCCAGCUGCCGCGCUAAUUCCAGUUCCAAUAACAUAUAUUAAAGUUGCUGCAGUUAAGAAGCGGGAGCGGGCAGUCCGCCGUGAGACGAGCCACCGCCCAUACCGCCCCUUGCCUCUCGGCGCCUCCUUGAUGCUAUUAGCUGAGAAUCCCACGGCCUGAAGCAUUUACUUUGAAAAAGCAGGCCCGAACCUCCUGGAUACCACAGCUAGGAAUAAUGGAAUAGGACCUCAGUUCCAUUUUGUUGGUUUUCAGAACUGAGGCCCUGAUUAAGAGGGAUGGCCAGGGGCAUUUGUGUUGCGUCGCUAGAGGUGAAACUCUUGGACCGGCGCAAUAUGGACCAGAGCGAAAGCAUUUGCCAAGAAGGUUUUCAUUAAUUGAGAAUGAAAGUCGGAGGUUUGAAGACGAUCAGAUACCGUCGUAGUUCCGACCAUGAACUGGCCAUGCGGCGACGUUAUUCCCAUGACCCGCCGGGCAGCUUCAGGAAACCAAAGUCUUUGGGUUCCGGGGGGGUGGGGGGUAUGGCUGCAAAGCUGAAACUUAAAGGAAUUGACGGAAGGGAACCACCAGGAGUGGAGCCUGCGGCUUAAUUUGACUCAACACGGGAAACCUCACCCGGCCCGGACACGGACAGGA